rnacentral:rRNA from 1 species
GACGAACGCUGGCGGCGUGCCUAAUACAUGCAAGUUGAGCGAUGAAGAUUGGUGCUUGCACCAAUUUGAAGAGCAGCGAACGGGUGAGUAACGCGUGGGGAAUCUGCCUUUGAGCGGGGGACAACAUUUGGAAACGAAUGCUAAUACCGCAUAACAACUUUAAACAUAAGUUUUAAGUUUGAAAGAUGCAAUUGCAUCACUCAAAGAUGAUCCCGCGUUGUAUUAGCUAGUUGGUGAGGUAAAGGCUCACCAAGGCGAUGAUACAUAGCCGACCUGAGAGGGUGAACGGCCACAAUGGGACUGGGACACGGCCCAAACUCCUACGGGAGGCAGCAGGAGGGAAUCUUCGGCAAUGGACGAAAGGCUGACCGAGCAACGCCGCGUGAGUGAAGAAGGGUUUCGGAUCGUAAAACUCUGUUGGUAGAGAAGAACGUUGGUGAGAGUGGAAAGCUCAUCAAGUGACGGUAACUACCCAGAAAGGGACGGCUAACUACGUG